rfam:Basidiobolus meristosporus CBS 931.73 K493scaffold_200, whole genome shotgun sequence.
AGCAGCGUAGCGCAGAGGAAGCGCGCGGGGCUCAUAACCCCGAGGUCGGAGGAUCGAAACCUCUCGCUGCUA